rnacentral:rRNA from 1 species
AUUGAACGCUGGCGGCAGGCCUAACACAUGCAAGUCGAGCGGAUGAAGGGAGCUUGCUCCUGGAUUCAGCGGCGGACGGGUGAGUAAUGCCUAGGAAUCUGCCUGGUAGUGGGGGAUAACGUCCGGAAACGGGCGCUAAUACCGCAUACGCCCUGAGGGAGAAAGUGGGGGAUCUUCGGACCUCACGCUAUCAGAUGAGCCUAGGUCGGAUUAGCUAGUUGGUGGGGUAAAGGCCUACCAAGGCGACGAUCCGUAACUGGUCUGAGAGGAUGAUCAGUCACACUGGAACUGAGACACGGUCCAGACUCCUACGGGAGGCAGCAGUGGGGAAUAUUGGACAAUGGGCGAAAGCCUGAUCCAGCCAUGCCGCGUGUGUGAAGAAGGUCUUCGGAUUGUAAAGCACUUUAAGUUGGGAGGAAGGGCAGUAAGUUAAUACCUUGCUGUUUUGACGUUACCAGCAGAAUAAGCACCGGCUAACUUCGUG